rnacentral:misc_RNA from 1 species
AAAGUCGUAACAAGGUUUCCGUAGGUGAACCUGCGGAAGGAUCAUUAACUAAACAACACAAUAACCUUUGUGAAUUGAGCCGGUAGGCUUACGCUGCGAGUUUCGGCUCCAGUGAUAUAAACAUUUAACGAGUCAGUGUCAAUAAAACACAAGAGAAACAAUUUUUAACAAUGGAUCUCUAGGCUCUU